rnacentral:tRNA from 1 species
GGGGAAAUAGUUAAUCUAUAAUAUCAGAUUGUCAAUCUGAAGUUGGUGUUUUGAUCACCUUUUCUUG